rnacentral:rRNA from 1 species
ACGACGAGAGCGUCUAGGCGAACAAUGUUCUUAAAGUUUGACCUCAAAUCAGGUAGGAGUACCCGCUGAACUUAAGCAUAUCAAUAAGCGGAGGAAAAGAAACCAACCGGGAUUGCCUUAGUAACGGCGAGUGAAGCGGCAAAAGCUCAAAUUUGAAAUCUGGUACCUUUGGUGCCCGAGUUGUAAUUUGGAGAGGGCAACUUUGGGACCGUUCCUUGUCUAUGUUCCUUGGAACAGGACGUCAUAGAGGGUGAGAAUCCCGUGUGGCGAGGAGUGCGGUUCUAUGUAAAGUGCCUUCGAAGAGUCGAGUUGUUUGGGAAUGCAGCUCUAAGUGGGUGGUAAAUUCCAUCUAAAGCUAAAUAUUGGCGAGAGACCGAUAGCGAACAAGUACAGUGAUGGAAAGAUGAAAAGAACUUUGAAAAGAGAGUGAAAAAGUACGUGAAAUUGUUGAAAGGGAAGGGCAUUUGAUCAGACAUGGUGUUUUGCGCCCUCUGCUCCUUGUGGGUGGGGGAAUCUCGCAGUUCACUGGGCCAGCAUCAGUUUUGGUGGCAGGAUAAAUCCGUAGGAAUGUAACUUGCUUCGGGAAGUAUUAUAGCCUAUGGGAAUACUGCCAGCUGGGACUGAGGACUGCGACGUAAGUCAAGGAUGCUGGCAUAAUGGUUAUAUGCC